rnacentral:rRNA from 1 species
GCUGGGGAGUACGGCCGCAAGGCUGAAACUCGAAGGAAUUGACGGGGGCCCGCACAAGCGGUGGAGCAUGUGGUUUAAUUCGAAGCUACGCGAAGAACCUUACCAGGUCUUGACAUACUAUGCAAAUCUAAGAGAUUAGACGUUCCCUUCGGGGACAUGGAUACAGGUGGUGCAUGGUUGUCGUCAGCUCGUGUCGUGAGAUGUUGGGUUAAGUCCCGCAACGAGCGCAACCCUUAUUAUCAGUUGCCAGCAUUAAGUUGGGCACUCUGGUGAGACUGCCGGUGACAAACCGGAGGAAGGUGGGGAUGACGUCAAAUCAUCAUGCCCCUUAUGACCUGGGCUACACACGUGCUACAAUGGAUGGUACAACGAGUUGCGAACUCGCGAGAGUAAGCUAAUCUCUUAAAGCCAUUCUCAGUUCGGAUUGUAGGCUGCAACUCGCCUACAUGAAGUCGGAAUCGCUAGUAAUCGCGGAUCAGCAUGCCGCGGUGAAUACGUUCCCGGGCCUUGUACACACCGCCCGUCACACCAUGAGAGUUUGUAACACCCAAAGUCGGUGGGGUAACCUUUAGGAACCAGCCGCCUAAGGUGGGACAGAUGAUUAGGGUGAAGUCGUAACAAGGUAACCA